CACACUGUAAACGAUGAAUGCUAGGUGUAGGGGGUAUCGACCCCUUCUGUGCCGGAGUUAACACAAUAAGCAUUCCGCCUGGGGAGUACGGCCGCAAGGUUGAAACUCAAAGGAAUUGACGGGGGCCCGCACAAGCAGCGGAGCAUGUGGUUUAAUUCGAAGCAACGCGAAGAACCUUACCAGGUCUUGACAUCCAGUAAAAACCUGAGAGAUCAGGUGUGAGCUUGCUCAUACUGAGACAGGUGG
rnacentral:rRNA from 1 species